rnacentral:rRNA from 1 species
UACGUAGGGCGCAAGCGUUAUCCGGAAUUAUUGGGCGUAAAGAGCUCGUAGGCGGUUUGUCGCGUCUGCUGUGAAAACUGGAGGCUCAACCUCCAGCCUGCAGUGGGUACGGGCAGACUAGAGUGCGGUAGGGGAGAUUGGAAUUCCUGGUGUAGCGGUGGAAUGCGCAGAUAUCAGGAGGAACACCGAUGGCGAAGGCAGAUCGCUGGGCCGUAACUGACGCUGAGGAGCGAAAGCGUGGGGAGCGAACAGG